GGCACUGUGAUGGAGUUGGUUACCAUAUCUGUCUAACACACAGAAGGUCGCCAGUUCGAGCCUGGCCGGAGUCA
rnacentral:tRNA from 2 species